GACGAACGCUGGCGGCGUGCUUAACACAUGCAAGUCGAACGGAAAGGCCCUGCUUUUGUGGGGUGCUCGAGUGGCGAACGGGUGAGUAACACGUGAGUAACCUGCCCUUGACUUUGGGAUAACUUCAGGAAACUGGGGCUAAUACCGGAUAGGAGCUCCUGCUGCAUGGUGGGGGUUGGAAAGUUUCGGCGGUUGGGGAUGGACUCGCGGCUUAUCAGCUUGUUGGUGGGGUAGUGGCUUACCAAGGCUUUGACGGGUAGCCGGCCUGAGAGGGUGACCGGCCACAUUGGGACUGAGAUACGGCCCAGACUCCUACGGGAGGCAGCAGUGGGGAAUAUUGCACAAUGGGCGGAAGCCUGAUGCAGCAACGCCGCGUGCGGGAUGACGGCCUUCGGGUUGUAAACCGCUUUCGCCUGUGACGAAGCGUGAGUGACGGUAAUGGGUAAAGAAGCACCGGCUAACUACGUGCCAGCAGCCGCGGUGAUACGUAGGGUGCGAGCGUUGUCCGGAUUUAUUGGGCGUAAAGGGCUCGUAGGUGGUUGAUCGCGUCGGAAGUGUAAUCUUGGGGCUUAACCCUGAGCGUGCUUUCGAUACGGGUUGACUUGAGGAAGGUAGGGGAGAAUGGAAUUCCUGGUGGAGCGGUGGAAUGCGCAGAUAUCAGGAGGAACACCAGUGGCGAAGGCGGUUCUCUGGGCCUUUCCUGACGCUGAGGAGCGAAAGCGUGGGGAGCGAACAGGCUUAGAUACCCUGGUAGUCCACGCUGUAAACGGUGGGUACUAGGUGUGGGGUCCAUUCCACGGGUUCCGUGCCGUAGCUAACGCUUUAAGUACCCCGCUUGGGGAGUACGGCCGCAAGGCUAAAACUCAAAGGAAUUGACGGGGCCCCGCACAAGCGGCGGAGCAUGCGGAUUAAUUCGAUGCAACGCGUAGAACCUUACCUGGGUUUGACAUGGAUCGGGAGUGCUCAGAGAUGGGUGUGCCUCUUUUGGGGUCGGUUCACAGGUGGUGCAUGGCUGUCGUCAGCUCGAGUCGUGAGAUGUUGGGUUAAGUCCCGCAACGAGCGCAACCCUUGUUCACUGUUGCCAGCACGUUAUGGUGGGGACUCAGUGGAGACCGCCGGGGUCAACUCGGAGGAAGGUGGGGAAGACGUCAAGUCAUCAUGCCCCUUAUGUCCAGGGCUUCACGCAUGCUACAAUGGCUGGUACAGAGAGUGGCGAGCCUGUGAGGGUGAGCGAAUCUCGGAAAGCCGGUCUCAGUUCGGAUUGGGGUCUGCAACUCGACCUCAUGAAGUCGGAGUCGCUAGUAAUCGCAGAUCAGCAACGCUGCGGUGAAUACGUUCCCGGGGCUUGUACACACCGCCCGUCAAGUCAUGAAAGUUGGUAACACCCGAAGCCGGUGGCCUAACCGUUGUGGGGGAGCCGUCGAAGGUGGGACUGGUGAUUAGGACUAAGUCGUAACAAGGUAGCCGU
rnacentral:rRNA from 1 species